CACAGGACAGCAGCCUGGACGGCAUCCACCCUUCCCCUGGUCACACCUCCGAGACCCACAGCUGAGACCGCUGCCAGGAAUCCUACCACAGUGGCCUGAACCUGGACAUGAAGGACAAACCGGAGACAUGAUGAAGAGUGUGCGGUGGGGCAGUGUCACCUGAAUGAGAGCCAGAUUACAGAGCACCAUCCUCCACUGCUGCUGGGCCUCAUCCAUCUGCCCUGUGUUGGCCUGUGGAUGGAAAUGAGUUUAUGUAAUCGCAUUUCUCCACCGCAUGCUGCCUGGAUGCCAAUGUCAUCUCCAGAUUCCCCUUCAGUCCCACCAGGGCUGGCACCAAGAUAAACACCUCUGAGAUCUCCCUGAACACCUCCCAGUGCUGAAAAACACACCAGUGGUCUUUUAAAACCCACUGUUUAACUACAUCACAGUGAAGCUACACAGCAAAACAAAUCUUUUCCUUCUGUGUCUUAUACUGCCUCUUGCUAAAAUAGAUUAGUAUUUUUCAUUUUCAAAGAACUAAAAUGUUUAGUAACUCUAAAAAUGUAUUUUCUCAAUCAACUUCUACGUUUGAGCAAUGUGGUCACAAAAGGCUCUGUCAAAUGUACCUUUGUGGCUUCAGCUACAUCUAAUUUAAAAUUAAUUGACAGUUGUGUUGUUUGCUUAUGUUCCAGCACUCAGUCAUAUCAGUCGAUCUUUUUUCCUCAAACCGGACUGAUACAGUCUUGUUUGGGCACAUUUUUGACAGUUAUCCCUUAAUAAAUACUAUCAUAGAAUGAACUUUAACUCAGUUGUUUAAGCAUUAUUGCCAUGUAAUA